rnacentral:rRNA from 1 species
CAAGUCGAGCGGCAGCGCGGGAGCAAUCCUGGCGGCGAGCGGCGAACGGGUGAGUAAUGCUUCGGAAUCUGCCCAGUAGUGGGGAACAACCAGUCGAAAGACUGGCUAAUACCGCAUACGACCUAUGGGUGAAAGCAGGGGACCGCAAGGCCUUGCGCUAUUGGAUGAGCCGAAGUCGGAUUAGCUAGUUGGUGAGGUAACGGCUCACCAAGGCGACGAUCCGUAGCUGGUCUGAGAGGACGACCAGCCACACUGGGACUGAGACACGGCCCAGACUCCUACGGGAGGCAGCAGUGGGGAAUAUUGGACAAUGGGGGCAACCCUGAUCCAGCGACGCCGCGUGUGUGAAGAAGGCCUGCGGGUUGUAAAGCACUUUUAGUGGGGAGGAAAACACCUGACCUAACACGUCAGGAAUUGACUUAACCCAAAGAAAAAGCACCGGCUAACUCUGUGCCAGCAGCCGCGGUAAUACAGAGGGUGCAAGCGUUAAUCGGAAUUACUGGGCGUAAAGCGUGCGUAGACGGUUGUUUAAGUCGGAUGUGAAAUCCCCGGGCUCAACCUGGGAAUUGCAUUCGAGACUGAACGGCUAGGGUACGGAAGAGGGAAGCGGAAUUUCCGGUGUAGCGGUGAAAUGCGUAGAUAUCGGAAGGAACAUCAGUGGCGAAAGCGGCUUCCUGGUCCAGUACCGACGUUCAGGCACGAAAGCGUGGGGAGCAAACAGGAUUAGAUACCCUGGUAGUCCACGCCAUAAACGAUGAGGACUAGACGUUGGAAGGGUCAGCCUUUCAGUGUCGCAGCUAACGCGAUAAGUCCUCCGCCUGGGGAGUACGGCCGCAAGGUUGAAACUCAAGGAUUGACGG